rnacentral:rRNA from 1 species
UACGAAGGGGGCUAGCGUUGCUCGGAAUUACUGGGCGUAAAGGGAGCGUAGGCGGCGCGGUAAGUCAGAUGUGAAAUCCCGGGGCUCAACCCAGGAACUGCAUCCGAUACUGCCGUGCUAGAGGAUUGGAGAGGUAGCUGGAAUUCUUGGUGUAGCAGUGAAAUGCGUGGAGAUCAAGAGGAACACUCGUGGCGAAAGCGAGCUACUGGACAAUAUCUGACGCUGAGGCGCGAAGGCCAGGGUAGCGAAAGGG